rnacentral:rRNA from 1 species
ACCUGGGCGUACCCAGCCGGGCCCCCUAAGUUGGCCAGGCAACGCAAGCCCUGCGCGCCCCCUAAUACGCCUCGACAUUUCGGGCACGGAAGCGCACCCAGAGGCCCGCCUGGCCACGUGAAAGGAGCCCAGCUGCCGGUGCUGGCCGAGAGGCACGCCGGUGUUCGGACAGCGACCCUUCCACUGGCAGCCGGGGCGCGGCCGCCGCAAUGUCGGGUCGGUCAAGCAACUCGAGCAGCCUCCCGGCUCCUUCGAACGGCGAAGAGCAGGUGGGAGGGCGGUAGGAACGAGCAGUGCUGGCCCCGCCUGACCAGUCAGUCACGAGAGGGCUGGCGCUCGCAUCCUUCCCGGCCCAUGCCACGCUCUUAAACGAAGCCCGGUCACCGCUUAGCCAGCCAGGAGGUAGGCUGGGCAGAAC